CGCUCGACCCCCGCCCGAGCUGGAUGCUCGGCGACGCACUCGAAGCCACCCGCCGCUCCGCGCCGCCCACGCCCCUCAAGCAGCCGCCGGAGUGGGCUAGCGGUGGCAACAUGGGGGAGAAGGCCUUUGUGAUGCGGGUCGAGGAGGAAGACCACCCGGAAGAGGAAGAUGAUACCAGUGAUGGGGAUGCCGGGGCUCUUGUGAGUUGUGACCACCGGGCGAGGUUCUCAUGUAACGAUCUCGAAUCCAGUUUGUCAAUAUCACCUCAAUUGGAUCAUCUGACAAUUCAUAAGGGUUAUCUCAACGGAAAUGGAAGACAUUGGGAUUUUGAGGGCAGCCUGUAAGAAAGAUAGCUAGCCUUUGGUCCUAGGGACAAUCUGCAAAGGAUAUUGAUACCAUCAACUUCAAGAGAUGCUACACAAAGUGAUGGUGCAAGAGAUGGUGUGCAAAGUGAAGAGCCAAGAGAUGCUACACAAAGAGGUGGUGCUGCUUCAAAUAAGAAGCCUGUGAAGGAAUUAAAGAAGGGUAAGAAGCGUGAUGAUCCAAUGGUGGAAGUGAUGGCACAGUAUGUGGAGAUCAAAUGAAAGCAAGCGGAGGAGGAGUCUGCUUUGUUGCCAGGGUCAAAAAAUGCCCAAGAGUUCCAUCAGCAAGUGCAUUGCUGUUCUGCACAAGAUGGAAAACAAGCAACGCGGCGAAAGAGCCACUGCCUACAAAGUGUUCAAAAAUGCUGAGUAGAUCUUUCUCAAUUCUGCCGCUGAAGCUGAAGAGAGUGCUGUCGUGUUUCUUCAGAGCGAAAUGGUAGAGUUGCCUCAACGUAUCUAAGGUAAGCUACCUUGUUCCUAUUAGCAUCUUCUUUUGGUAUUCCCUAUUCCUCAAAUCCUGCUUCAAUUGGCUGAUGGGAUCAGUCUCAUAGAGUGUAUUUGGUUGCAAUUAGCGAGUGUUGUACAUCAAACCAAACUAGGGUGGCCUGACGACGUCACUUCGACUCUGUAUAUUCUGGUCAUCAAACCAAACUAGGGUGGCCUGAUGAGGUCAUGUAUGAGGCUUGGGUUCUAUUUCAUGUCAUAUUUAUUAGUCCUUCCUGUAUAAUGUGUGUGGUUGAUGCUCAAGUGAUUUAGUUUCAGUAGGACUGUUGCCUAAAGUAUUUAAAUGGUCAUAUUGUAGUUACAGUAAUCUUGGGCAUGUCUCAUGGAGAUUUGCACCUUUUCUUCUAUUCAAUUACUCGAAGUGACUUACUCAAAGCACCUUGUUACUAUGCUGACUAAUGCAUCUUGCUGAUGCUCAUUUCAGUCAUCAGUUAACUUCCUACACACUGAACAGUAGAUAUUAUAGUAGAAUUUAUCACAUACAAAAUUCUUUCACACAAGAAUAGACAUUGAAUUAUGUGUAUUUGGGCCAGGAUAUACAAUAAGAAAUCCCAUGUAUUUUGUUGGGGCUUAAUGUGAGCCGUGCAGUUUCCAACUUGCAGAUGUGUGUGCUGAUGAUGUUGUUAUUUUGGCUCUUUUUUAUGUGGACUCAAGAUCAAUGUUUUCUUGCAGAGUUAUUACGAGUAUUUGUUGCUUUCCUGGUUGGAGUUAGAUGCUAGCAUGGAAAGAUCUCAAUUGCCAACGACAAUACCACCCUCUGUUAAACUUGGUUGUAACAGAAUAUUGUGAUGAGGACCUGUUGUUUUGGCCAAUAUAGCACUAGCUAGUAUCAAUAUUGUGAGGACCUGUUGUUUUGUAGGUGACGCCAUUAGUUUUGCUACUUUGCAUAUUCUAGGAGCAAGUACAAGUGAGGUUAUAUGGGAAGGGGCGAUUUGGUGCCCGUGCUCAGCUGCACUCGAAAUCAUGGGCGUUCACUGGUGCAUUGGGAUGCUGGAAAGCAAUUCUGACUCGGCAGUGUUUGCCCGUGGAAAAAGAUGAUACGGUAGGAAUACCAGGGAGAACAGUGCGAUACGCUUGGCCAUUUUUGUUCCGCGGUUCGUCGUUUCGAAUUGAUUCCGAUGCGCGCCGUGACGGCUAGUUCCAGAGCCUCGGUACAGUACGUUUUGGAUGUCCCCGAGCCGUCAGACUCAGACAGUGGCUUGUGGGGGUCGGACUUGGAAAAAUUGCUGAGAACGACGGUGGUUCUCGAGCGGAGCAGUUCAUUCCAACCAGGUGUUUGCUGACUCUGGCGAGCGCGGAUGAAGGAAGGGGCUGGUCCGCUGGAGUUUCUGCUGGAUUCGGUGGACAGGUUCUAGCUGCGGGAGGAAUUUUGUGGACAGCCUGAACCACCAAGAACCGGUGGCGCUGAUGUUGCUGACGCCGAGAGAUGUGGAAAGGCCGGUGCGGGACGAAUCUAAUGGUGCAUCUGGAUGAGCUGAACUAGUUGGUGAGCGCGGCCCUCCAAGGAGCAGAGAGGAAGUGCGGCGACAGAAGAAUGCCUCGCCGACGCAGUCGAUUCAGUCAACAGGGAAAGUUAAUCCUGAGGCGCCAGGAUGGACAAACAGGCCGAGACUGGGCAGUGCACCACCGGACAGAACUCCCUGUGCUUUGAGGAUGAGCGCUCUGGAGUAGUCAAUCUGAAAGUUUGCUGAGGAACCAACUAAGAGUGUAAUUAAGCUUGAGCUUGGUACAACCUUCGACUCACUAGUGGAAGCUGGAUGUGGAGAACAGUGGGUCUACAUAUCUGAGUGCCCAGCAUUGAUACAGUUGCUGCGCGCGGCUGAUUAACAAUGGGGAGAAAGUUCAUUGGCCAUCACACAAGUAUAUAGAUGUGUACAAGGAUUUGAUUAAGAAGUUGUGGGAAAAAUAAUGUCAAUCUUGGUAAAGUGUACAACAUCAUUGCAAAAGAAAUUGGAUAAAUGGAGAAGGUACUGUUCACAAAGAGGACCGUGAAGAACAUUUGCGGCAAGAUAAGUCGCUGCAGGCUGAUGAUGAUGUGAGGAAGACAUUGGAGGUCUUUCAAAGAUUGAAGGGACGGAUCAGACUUUACUUACUUACCACAAAGGAAGGAUGACUGUAGUUGGCCUGGUUUUGAGUGAAUAUUCAGUCUUGAACAUGUUUUCUGGUUCUGAGUUAUGAAAUGGCAACGGAACAGUGUCUUGUGCACAUGAUUACAUAUACUCCCUCCGCCGGAAUUAGUUAACGCUUAAACGGAUCUAAUGUAGUUUCUUCAUGGGAUUGCAUCUUGAUUUUUCUUUGAUUUUUGCUAUUUGAGCAAAAAUGACAGUGUCUUGUUCUAGUUUUUGUGGACAUGUAACUGUGCAGAAAAAUAAAUAGAUGAAUAUUCCCAUUGAA